rnacentral:tRNA from 1 species
GGAGGGGUGGCCGAGUGGCUGAAGGCGCCGGUUUGCUAAACCGGUUUACGGGAAACCGUAACGUGGGUUCGAAUCCCAUCCCCUCCGCCA